GCCUCAGUGGUGUAGUGGUAGAGCAUGUGUCCCGGAUAGGAUGAAACGCGGGUUCGAUCCCCGCUCGAGGCC